UACGAAGGUGGCAAGCGUUGUUCGGAUUUACUGGGCGUAAAGGGUGCGCAGGCGGUUCCGCAAGUCAGGCGUGAAAUCCCCGGGCUUAACCUGGGAAUGGCGCUUGAAACUACGGGACUGGAGUAUGGCAGAGGGAGGUGGAAUUCCACGUGUAGCGGUGAAAUGCGUAGAGAUGUGGAGGAACACCGAUGGCGAAGGCAGCCUCCUGGGCCAAUACUGACGCUCAUGCACGAAAGCGUGGGGAGCAAACAGG
rnacentral:rRNA from 1 species